UUCAGGUGUAUUGUCCUGUCUAGAGACGAUGUACUGUAAGUCUGUCACACCAGACUUCUUUCCACAGCACAAUCCCCAGCAAGGAGGAGCAAAAAUCUAGUUGUUAUUGUCAACAUGAGACAGUUCAUUCACCUCUUAGAAAUCUGGCUGACUGCCCUUUUCCUGAGGGUUGAGAACACCCAAGCUGGAGGAAAGGACAAAUCACUCUUGUCAGGAACUGUAAUUGGUUCGAUAUGGAGAGCUUUCAAAAAGAAGUCAAAGGCCAGUUGUGCUGCCUUGUCCACUUCUGCUAUACUCUCAACCAACGAAGAGGAUGUUGAGUGAUACGACGCAAGAGAAGUGGAUUUUAUGGAUGCUUCAAAUCCACAUGGGAAACCAGUCAGCUCCAUGUCAAAGUCUGCCAGUCUUGAUUAGUCCUUUCUAUUAUGCCACACCCUGACUUUAUUCUGUUGCAAUAGCAAGCCAUCCCUGGAAAGACCCUAACAUUCCAUUAUCACUAACAGAACUAAAGUUAACUUCUCAACAAGCUUAGAAAAUGAAUGUGACAGUUUUGAUGGAUCUCUGAUAAUCAGAAACAAGAUGGAGAGAUUAUACUAUUAUGAGUUUACUAUAUGCAAGGUGCAUGAUGCAAACAAAGUCAUGUAUUUGCAUGUCCCUUUGAUCCAGUGAUAAGAAUGGCUCUACAGUGAUUGGUUCAUGCUCAAAGGUGUCCUGAACUUAAAAAGAUCAAAGAAAGA